rnacentral:rRNA from 1 species
AUUGAACGCUGGCGGCAGGCCUAACACAUGCAAGUCGAACGGUAACAGGAAGAAGCUUGCUUCUUUGCUGACGAGUGGCGGACGGGUGAGUAAUGUCUGGGAAACUGCCUGAUGGAGGGGGAUAACUACUGGAAACGGUAGCUAAUACCGCAUAACGUCGCAAGACCAAGGAGGGGGACCUUCGGGCCUCUUGCCAUCGGAUGGGCCCAGAUGGGAUUAGCUAGUAGGUGGGGUAACGGCUCACCUAGGCGACGAUCCCUAGCUGGUCUGAGAGGAUGACCAGCCACACUGGAACUGAGACACGGUCCAGACUCCUACGGGAGGCAGCAGUGGGGAAUAUUGCACAAUGGGCGCAAGCCUGAUGCAGCCAUGCCGCGUGUAUGAAGAAGGCCUUCGGGUUGUAAAGUACUUUCAGCGGGGAGGAAGGGAGUAAAGUUAAUACCUUUGCUCAUUGACGUUACCCGCAGAAGAAGCACCGGCUAACUCCGUG